CGAACGGGUGAGUAAUGCGUGACCAACCUCGCCCCAUGCUCCAGAAUAGCUCUUGGAAACGGGUGGUAAUGCUGGAUUCUCCAACUUGACGCAUGUCUUGUUGGGAAAGUGUUUAGUGGCAUGGGAUGGGGUCGCGUCCUAUCAGCUUGUAGGCGGGGUAAUGGCCCACCUAGGCUUCGACGGGUAGCCGGCCUGAGAGGGCGGACGGCCACAUUGGGACUGAGAUACGGCCCAGACUCCUACGGGAGGCAGCAGGC
rnacentral:rRNA from 1 species